GUGCUCACUUCAGCAGCACAUACACUAACACUGGAACAAUAUAAAAAAGAUCAGCAUGGCCCCUGCACAAGGAUGACACUCAAAUUCAUGAAGUGUUCCAUAUUUUU